rnacentral:rRNA from 1 species
GGUGGUGCAUGGUUGUCGUCAGCUCGUGUCGUGAGAUGUUGGGUUAAGUCCCGCAACGAGCGCAACCCUUGAUUUUAGUUGCCAGCAUUUAGUUGGGCACUUUAAAGUGACUGCCGGUGCAAGCCGGAGGAAGGUGGGGAUGACGUCAAAUCAUCAUGCCCCUUAUGACCUGGGCUACACACGUGCUACAAUGGAUGGUACAAAGGGUCGCGAAGCCGCGAGGUGGAGCCAAUCCCAUAAAACCAUUCUCAGUUCGGAUUGUAGGCUGCAACUCGCCUACAUGAAGCCGGAAUCGCUAGUAAUCGUGGAUCAGCAUGCCACGGUGAAUACGUUCCCGGGCCUUGUACAC